UCAGCGAGUUCCCAUAAGCCAAGAGUUAAAUGCUGCUUCCAUGCCCUUUUAGCAUGGCAAUGCCUGCACAAAACUGUCUCCUGCAUUCCCCUCAAAAAAGGCAAAUGGAGAAUCUUACAGGAUCUAGUUCUCUUCCUGUCUUAAGAGAAAGCAAGCAAUGUGGGCAGCAAGAGAAGGCUCUAGACGUGUGACUGAUCUAAUUGCAAAUUCUAGUGCUGAGUUAGGAAAGCUCUCAGCUUAACUGUGCUUGCUUUCAAUUCUUUACGUCCUAUCGAGCUGAUGAACAAGAAUAAUAACAAAAGACUUGUAUGCUGCAUAAGGAGUGUAACUCCACACCGGUUUGAGCUAGACAAAGAUGUGAUUUCUCUUGCAGAAAUUGACAGAUGAUGUCUCAAACUAUACUGCUAGGAACUGAGGUUCACAAAGCUUGAUGUAUGUCUUCCCUGAGUGAGAAGCAUCACUUUUCUAGCAGAGUAGGAUUGUAUUUCAGGAUAGCACCGCUGUUGUUUUGGAAACUGAGAGAAUUAAUUUUCCAGUUGCUUCUAUUUGAUACUUCUGGUAAGAAUUCAAAUAUUAAGAGGUUAGCACUCAAACUGAACUCCCACAGUGCUUGCACACAGAGGCCAUGUGUGUUCUGUGCAGCAAACAGGCUUGGAAAAUAGACUAGAAAAAUGCAAUGAACUGCCUCAACACAGGUUCUCUGUAAAGAACUUCAGGUCCCCUUCUGUUAGUCCAGAAAUAGCUUGUGAAAUGAGAUGAUUGCUUACAACACUGAACAAAGAGUAACUGGGUAUUUUUGAUUUUCUCCUAAUCAGGCCAAAACUGGUUGCUGAAGGACAUAUCUAUGAGUGAGUGGGCUUACUCAGCUUGAUGGGGCCUGGACUGCCUGAACAAACAGGAAUGUAGAACCUAAUAUGAAUGCUCGUGCUGCUUCUGCCUACUUCUGUCUCUUCCUGUGUUAUUCCCAACUGCUUCACAGCUGAACUUUAUCUUCCUGAAAGCCUGGUCAUGUGCGUCCCUGAGCCCCAGCGGCCCUGCACGCUGCCUGAGAACAGGAGCCAUCCACGAAGCACAGGCAGAGGGAUGUUCUUAGCAUUGACUCUGACUCCGUGCUGGACUUUAGGCAAGAAGAGUAGUCAAGGAGGAACAGAAAUGGUGAGAGACUGAAUGUAUAAAGCUCGUAACUUAACGCUGUGCAGGUAAUUCAGGAACAAAUGUAGUAUGAAAGGAAUAACUUCAUGCAAAGAGCUUUACAGUCCCAUUCUGAAUCUGCUGCUGGCUUGCAGUAUCUGGCUACCUUCCCUAGAUAUGCCUCCACUUCACUGCCAUUAAAAGUGGAGAUAAUUCAUCUGUUGUAAACUCCACUGAGAUAGAAAGCCCAACAUGUGUUUCCUAAGCCAGAUCUGUCAUGAAGAAAGUGGUUAUUUAUAAAGUAAUUAGGAAGGAAAAAAAAAUAGUUGGCUAGGAAUCUGCUAAACCAUUUCAGUUUUGCGUUCAUUACUUCACAGAGCUCUAAAAAGGCUGCUUUUCUUUUGCAGCUUCCCCUUUUCAUUUACAUUUUGUGUCCUGAACAGAGUGGAGAAGGGGUAGUAUGAAAGGAUUACUGCUGUUCCUCCUCUGGCAUCACAAUGAACACCCUGCUGGAAGCCUUCUUCUGACACGGCUGCCUUGCCUCCCAGCAGCACAGCAGGUUAAUAAAGAUGAAAAAGAAAAGAAA